CGCGUAGGCAACCUACCUUUAACUGGGAGAUAGCCCGGGGAAACCCGGAUUAAUACCCCAUAGCACAGUGAGACCACAUGGUUUUAUUGUUAAAGAUCAUCGGUUAAAGAUGGGCCUGCGUCAGAUUAGCUAGUUGGUGCGGUAACGGCGCACCAAGGCGACGAUCUGUAGGGGGUCGUGAGAGGAUGAUCCCCCACACUGGUACUGAGAUACGGACCAGACUCCUACGGGAGGCAGCAGUAGGGAAUAAUUGGGCCAAUGGGUGAGAGCCUGACCCAGCCAUGCCGCGUGCAGGAAGAC
rnacentral:rRNA from 1 species